rnacentral:SRP_RNA from 1 species
CCGACCGAGGGGUGCUGCCCGACCACCGCGUGGCCCCCGCGCUGGAGGCGCCGGCCGCCAGGCUGGCCAAGGAGAUGGCGAAGGACAAGGUGGGGAAGG